UUGGGUGCAGAGUGUCACGGCCAGCUCUCUUAAAGCCUCAGUUCCCUCACCUGCAAAACGCUGACAGUCUCUCCUGCCACCUAUUUUUCUUCACAAGAUGGCUGAGCGAUUCAAAUAAGAUAACGUAGGUAAGGUCAUUUUGUAAAAGGAUCGGCAAGCCACACGAAGAGACAACAUGGAUAUGGAAAAAAUUUGAAGAGAGUGGAAAACAAGAUGUUUUGGAAACAGUGGCCCACGAGAUGGAGUUCAAGUUUUUCCACACAGCACACCAGGUAGAUGCUAUCACUAUGUCAAGUUUACAGGGAAGGAAAUUGAGGCAAAAGAAGUUAAAGUAACUUCCUG